UUGCUUUGGCAGCACAUAUACUAAAACGACACAGAGAAGAUUAGCAGGGUCCCUGUGGAAAGAUGACAUGCAAAUUCAUGAAGUGCUUCAUAUUAAA
rnacentral:snRNA from 1 species